GACGAACGCUGGCGGCGUGCCUAAUACAUGCAAGUUGAGCGCUGAAGGUUGGUACUUGUACCAACUGGAUGAGCAGCGAACGGGUGAGUAACGCGUGGGGAAUCUGCCUUUGAGCGGGGGACAACAUUUGGAAACGAAUGCUAAUACCGCAUAAAAACUUUAAACACAAGUUUUAAGUUUGAAAGAUGCAAUUGCAUCACUCAAAGAUGAUCCCGCGUUGUAUUAGCUAGUUGGUGAGGUAAAGGCUCACCAAGGCGAUGAUACAUAGCCGACCUGAGAGGGUGAUCGGCCACAUUGGGACUGAGACACGGCCCAAACUCCUACGGGAGGCAGCAGUGGGGAAUCUUCGGCAAUGGACGAAAGUCUGACCGAGCAACGCCGCGUGAGUGAAGAAGGUUUUCGGAUCGUAAAACUCUGUUGGUAGAGAAGAACGUUGGUGAGAGUGGAAAGCUCAUCAAGUGACGGUAACUACCCAGAAAGGGACGGCUAACUACGU
rnacentral:rRNA from 1 species